rnacentral:sRNA from 1 species
GCCUGAGAUUAAAUAAUUUUUGCAGGGAGCAAUGUCUGGCAGGGGAAAUUCAUGGGUAGGUCUCCAGGACUUUAGGUACCUCAUUUUAAGGAAGAUCUGUCUUGAGUCUUCGUGACCUGUGUCAUCUCCUCUACUUGUUGAGGGGCUUGGAGUGUUGCCUUAAUAUGACUGAUGCUCACAAAUCUUUGGAGGAGCUUUGGGCUAGUGACCUGCUUGGUUUCCCUGGGGUCAGGUGAAAUGCCUACCAUCCUUCAGGGUCACCUGGUUUUCAAACCUCCUCAACCAGGAAUGAGGGUGUUUCACUGUUCUACAACCUCAGACAUUUAUUAACUGCUCAAAUUUACACCAGAGUUACCACUUUAGAACAAAGGUGACACAUAGGUUUUCAAUGAUUGAAGAGGUCCUGAGACAUAUGACAUAAUAAGCAAAGGACUUCAGACCUGAACAAAGUCCUAAGAAAGAUACAAAUAUAUCCAUUUUAAUAUCAGCAUGUAACAGAAUUAAUGAAAUAACAACAGGGACUCAGAUGUGCCCUUCUAGGGCCAGGAAAGUUUAUUCAUCCAUCUAAUAACUCCACAAUUCAUGCCCCCUCAGAAGUAAACUAUUCCAUGACUUCAAGGGGGCUGACACCCAGUUAGAAUAUCCUCUGAAGAGGGCCUUAGGCUUCUUUCCUCUAGCCAUAGUAGCCCCUGACUUUAAUGUUUUCACAAAGGAGUCAGCUGCCCUGGAGUAAAACACUUCAUUCUCCCUCUGUCUGCACUGGAGGGGUCUGAGACAUGCCCUUCUGAUGAAACAAGCUAUAGAACUGACCUUGUGACUGAGGAGUGUGUCUCAAACAUUCAUCCUCUGCUAUAGUGUGCUUGAGACUGAAUCCUGUGACUAAGAAUGCAUAGGAGAUUCUCUCUUUGUUCAUGGCUGACUCAGGCCUACCACUGUACUAAGAGAGACCAGAACUCUUCCUCAGACCUUAUUGGAUAGCAAAUACAAAUUUGACCACCAAAAAAUCUCCGAGAACUAUGGAUUGAACUCCCAUGGCCAAUGAAUAAAAACUCCAGCGUUGAUCCAAGGUCAUCUAUCUAAGCUUCUCACCAGAAAGGUCACUGUCCCUCACACCCACACCUGUGCAGCUUAUUGUAAGUUUAAAUAGGGAACAGAUCCAAGGACUUUGAUCCAACAUCUCAGAAGAAACCUCAGAUUGCUGUCAAGUCUGCAGUGGAGGCCUCGGAGAUAAGAAUUUUCUUGAGUUCUCUGAAGAUGUGUAGGCCUGGAGUGCCUGGACCAUCCUCUUCUACAGAAGUCUCUUGCAGACUCAGCUACAGAUGUGGAUAUGCUAGACUGUGAAGUACAGUUAGAAGGUGAGGUAAUGCUAGGACUUCGUGAGCUAUGGUAAGCAAUUUAAUUUUUGAUCAAAUAUUAUGGGAAUUUGAAUACUCUUAUUAUCUCUCCUUUCACAAGGACAUCAGCACCUCUUCUCUUCCCAGGGGUACAGACCACUUCUACCUUUGAUUAAGGGGGCAUCAUAUCUUAUCCCUGAAGGAAAGAUUACUUCAGAUCAUUCUAGUUUGUCCAAAGGAGGUUUAGACAUUAAUUUAGGGUGAGGAAAUCCACACAACUUCCUGAUAUUAUGGACUGAGCCGCAGAUAUUUUUCCUAAUGUUUCCCAGGUUUCUCCUUCAGUUCAAGGUAAACUGUAGGUUCAAUUAUGAUGCAGUGAAGAGCCCCUGACAAACAUAUUCUAUCAAGGAAGAUGACUACAUUCUACUUUCUUUGAAUAAGGGAAAUUUAGACAUACCCAUAAUACAAAUUCUUCUGAUUAAAGAAUGUACAGAGAAGCAACUGAAAUAAAAAUUCAUACAGAUGUUUCUUUUUUCUCAAGGAAACAUUUCCUUAGAGAAUCCACUUCUAUCCAUAGAAUCCUCAGUUGUAUUCUUCUAAGAGGUCUUAAUGUUUCCUUUCUGACCUGGGUGGCCAGGCAUACCUAAAUGUUUGAAGGGAUGGCAGACCACAUGGAAACGAUAUCCUCAGACAUGACAGUAUAAAUCUGAGCUCUGAUCUAACUUCUGUCUUUAAAUUGUCACUUGAAAUGGAGCAGUUCCAUAUUUGUUGUCCAUGUCUAUGUUGCUGCUGAACAGCUUGUGGAGAACAUAGAGUCAGAGAUUACCAACCAACUUGUAAGAACAAAUUCUCUAAUUGCUGGCAUGCACACCUCAGAGUCCCGGAACACAUGGGCAUUCUGGACUGUGAGGACAGUUGUACUUGAUUACCUUCUUCCAAUCCCUAAGGUAACCUUUUGCCUGAGGGAUUCUGUGACCUUCUUGCUCUUUCCUAUCCUCCUAAAAUGUUCUCUCUGAAAAAUGGGGCUCAUGACCUUCCAACAAAGUAGUCUUAUACCUAACUGAUCAGACAUAGUUCCAAAAGUGAUUCCUUCUAUAAAUCAGGGACUCUACUCCACCUUGGUUUGAGGUCCCAUAGUCCAAGUUUAGAAUCAGAGAAUAUAACUUUUGCCAUCUGCCAUCAAGCAAAUCAAUAGAAAUGUAAUAGCUUCAAAAUUUCUGCCUAGAUCUGGACAGCUGAACAAACUAAAAAAUGUAACCUAGCCGGCAACAGUUAUCCUAAGCUGUUGGAAGAAGAAAUCAGUUGCCACCUUUUCUCUCCUGCAUUAACAGAAACUAUGAAGAUAUAAAACUUUGAAUGAGAUUUAGAAACUUAUGAUGACUGCUGGAAACUUUAUCUACUGUAUAAGCUGAACACAACCUCGAAGAAAUAUCAAUGCUUGCAUAACCACUUAUCCUGUUGUUGUGACCAUUGCCUGGACUCAAAGAUAUAUAAGGCCUACCAUGGUGUAACUGAAGAUGGGAACAUGUGAAGUAGCCCUAGCUCUUCUGCUCAAGGAUUACAUCCAAACGUCUUCCUGCUACAUGUAUUCUGAGACAUUCCUCCACUGAAGAAAGGGGCCUUGGCCUUUUCCUAUCUGACCAAAGUCUUCAUAGCCCAAAGAUAACUGUCAGAAUAAAAUCCAACCUGUUGGAAUAAUGGAAGAAUUGCUGCCUGGACUUUCGAACAGCACACACAAUACAUGGACAUUCUCAAUACUGAAGAAGAAUAGGAAGCUGAUCAAACAAUACUGGAACUUCCUCUGCUCCACAAGAGAUGUCCUGUCCUACAUGCAGAGGAAUGUGUAGAUGGACAUAUAUUUGAAGAAGACACUGAACCUAAGACUACUACUGCAUUAUAGCCUCUUAGAAGACUUCUAAGACUGCUACCAUGCCUACCACGGACAUUCAGAAGAUGUGUAUUCUUGACUGUGAUUUCAAGUUUGGAGUUGAUGAUGUAGUGAGUGGCUGGAAUAUUCUAUAAUUUUCAAGGUACCAAUCAAUUUUCAACU